UACGUAGGGUGCAAGCGUUAAUCGGAAUUACUGGGCGUAAAGCGUGCGCAGGCGGUUUUGUAAGUCUGGCGUGAAAGCCCCGGGCUCAACCUGGGAAUUGCGAUGGAGACUGCAAGGCUUGAAUCUGGCAGAGGGGGGUAGAAUUCCACGUGUAGCAGUGAAAUGCGUAGAUAUCGGAAGGAACACCAGUGGCGAAAGCGGCUUCCUGGUCCAGCACCGACGUUCAGGCACGAAAGCGUGGGGAGCAAACAGG
rnacentral:rRNA from 1 species